rnacentral:rRNA from 1 species
GACAGAGGUGCCGAGCGUUAGGCGGAAUCACUGGGCUUAAAGCGUGUGUAGGCGGGCCGUUAAGUAUCUUGUGAAAUCCCCCGGCUCAACCGGGGAAUGGCUGGGUAUACUGGCGGUCUUGAGCGAUCUAGGGGCAGAUGGAACAAGUGGUGGAGCGGUGAAAUGCGUAGAUAUCACUUGGAACGCCAACGGUGAAGACAGUCUGCUGGGGAUCUGCUGACGCUGAGACACGAAAGCCAGGGGAGCGAACGGG